CCUACGGGAGGCAGCAGUGAGGAAUAUUGGUCAAUGGGCGGAAGCCUGAACCAGCCAAGUAGCGUGCAGGAUGACGGCCCUACGGGUUGUAAACUGCUUUUAUACGGGAAUAACGCGCCUUACGUGUAGGGCUUUGCAUGUACCGUAUGAAUAAGGACCGGCUAAAUCCGUUCCAGCAGCCGCGGUAAUACGGAGGGUCCGGGCGUUAUCCGGAUUUAUUGGGUUUAAAGGGAGCGUAGGCCGCAUUUUAAGCCAGCUGUGAAAGGUUCGGGCUCAACCGGGGCAUUGCAGCGCGAACUGGCGGGCUUGAGUCCGCGGAAGGCAGGCGGAAUGCGUGGUGUAGCGGUGAAAUGCUUAGAUAUGACGAAGAACCCCGAUUGCGAAGGCAGCUUGCUGCAGCGUAACUGACGCUGAUGCUCGAAAGCGCGGGUAUCGAACAGGAUUAGAUACCCCUGUAGUC
rnacentral:rRNA from 1 species